UGUCAGCAGCCGCGGUAAUACGGAGGGUGCAAGCGUUAUCCGGAUUCACUGGGUUUAAAGGGUGCGUAGGUGGGUUGGUAAGUCAGUGGUGAAAUCCCCGAGCUUAACUUGGGAACUGCCAUUGAUACUAUCAGUCUUGAAUACCGUGGAGGUCAGCGGAAUAUGUCAUGUAGCGGUGAAAUGCUUAGAUAUGACAUAGAACACCAAUUGCGAAGGCAGCUGGCUACCCGAAUAUUGACACUGAGGCACGAAAGCGUGGGGAUCAAACAGGAUUAGAUACCCUGGUAGUCCACGCCCUAAACUAUGGAUACUCGACAUACGCGAUACACUGUGUGUGUCUGAGCGAAAGCAUUAAGUAUCCCACCUGGGAAGUACGACCGCAAGGUUGAAACUCAAAGAAAUUGACGG
rnacentral:rRNA from 1 species